UACGAAGGGGGCUAGCGUUGUUCGGAAUUACUGGGCGUAAAGCGCGCGCAGGCGGUUCUUCAAGUCAGUGGUGAAAUCUCGUCGCUUAACGACGAAACUGCCUUUGAUACUAUCAGUCUUGAAUCCGGUAGAGAUCUGUGGAAUUCCGAGUGUAGCAGUGAAAUGUGUAGAUAUUCGGAAGAACACCAGUGGCGAAGGCAGCAGAUUGGGCCGGUAUUGACGCUCAGGCACGAAAGCAUGGGGAUCAAACAGG
rnacentral:rRNA from 1 species